GGUUGGGAGGCGGGCACAUGGCUCAAGGAGAGCCAAUCACUGUCAACGUAUGUCAGAUCUGAAAUUUUGCUGGCGCUACGGUGGGAAACGACUCCUUCCGCCAGGGUAGCUCAGCUGGUGGAAGCACGUAAGUGAAGCUGCUGAGGGCUGUGUUUGCCACCAAGAGCGGCUAGCCUGCCUGAAGAUGAAGCCAACCCAGGGAAGUGUAGCUCAGAAGUGGUAAGAGAUGGAUUCUUGGCAGUAUUCCGUGAGCCAGCUAUGCCUGAGGCCCCAAGGCUUCUCUGGCACGAGACCCAGAGAGAGCUGCGUGGGCCCCGACCGCGGAAGCACCGGGGACUUGGCCCUGCCGGUGUGGAUCCCAGCCCCACGGCUCGUGAGCGGAGAGCCCCUGACCCACGACCUGACCGAGUCUCCGCUUCUACACUUGCAAAAUGGUCAUAAUAAUCUCUCUCAGAGCCUGGGCCGGGAUCGAUGGAGAUAAUGGAGGUGAGAAUGCUUGGCUCGGGAGAAA
rnacentral:lncRNA from 1 species